ACAAAACUUAUACUAACUUUAUUACCGUAAUUUUUUUUACUAACAACAAUGUAAUCAAAGUAUAAAAAAGUAACGGAUAAAUUUUUUAAGUAACUUGACAAAACAUUGAUAAAACAAAACAAUUUAAUAAAUAAUUCAAGGUAAAACGUUGCAGCCAUAACAAAGGAUCUAAUAUUUAUAAAUCUCAGCCUUCAGUAGCCAUUUUUGGUGCGCCGUUUAAAGGUCGCUGGACACCUAAUUUGAAACAAGGUACCUUCAAUUAAAAUAUAAAAAAUAGCUAAAAAUUAAAACCAACUUUGGAGAAAAUGUGAAAAAGAAGAAAAUAGAUUACAUAUAGGGAAAGGCGCCUAUGAUGGCAUACUUAACUUUGAAGCUUCAUUAUUCAGUAUCCUGAAGACCUGUAAUAAAAGUUUUGAUAUGAAUACAUUCCUUGUUAUAAGUAGAACAAUAAUAACCCUUGGAUUUUU